rnacentral:rRNA from 1 species
AGGUCUGGCCUGCCCAAUGAUUAAUUUAAUGGCCGCAGUAUUUUGACUGUGCAAAGGUAGCAUAAUCAUUAGUUCUUUAAUUGAGGACUGGAAUGAAUGGUCGGAUGAGAAAAAAACUGUCUCUGCUUAAAUUUUUUAAAACUUUAUUUUUAAGUUAAAAAGCUUAAAUUUUGUUUAAAGACGAGAAGACCCUAUAGAGUUUAAUAAAUUAAAAUGAUUUUUUGUUCUUAAGAAUUUAAUUUUAUAAAGUUGUUUGUUUAUUUGAUUGGGGUGAUUAGAAAAUUAAUAUAACUUUUCUUUACUUUUUACAUUAAUUUAUGUUUAAUUGAUCCAAUUAUUUUGAUUAAAAGAGUAAAUUACCUUAGGGAUAACAGCGUAAUUUUUUUGGAGAGUUCUUAUCAAUAAAAGAGUUUGCGACCUCGAUGUUGGAUUAAAAUUUAGAACUGGUGCAGAAGCUAGUUUAUUAGGUCUGUUCGACCUUUAAAAUUUUACAUGAUCUGAGUUUAAACCGGUGUGAGCCAGGUUGGUUUCUAUCUUAAUUUAAUUUUAAUGAUUUAGUACGAAAGGACCGAUUAUUAAUAAAAUUUAUUUUUUCUUGAAUAUUAUUGUUAUUUUGGCAGAUUAGUGCAUUAAAUUUAGAAUUUAAUUAAGUAUUGAAUUAUACAGAUAACACUUGAUUUUGAAGGAUUAUAUUUUAAUAUUUAUUAGAGGUUUAAUUUUAAUUGUUUGUGUUCUUGUUGGAGU